AUCAUGGCUCAGGAUGAACGCUAGCGGCAGGCUUAACACAUGCAAGUCGAGGGGUAGAAGGAGCUUGCUCCUUUGAGACCGGCGCACGGGUGCGUAACGCGUAUGCAAUCUACCUUUUGCAGAGGGAUAGCCCAGAGAGAUUUGGGAUUAAAUACCUCAUAGUAUAGUACUUUGGCAUCAAGGAACUAUUAAAGUCACAACGGCAAAAGAUGAGCAUGCGUCCCAUUAGCUAGUUGGUAAGGUAACGGCUUACCAAGGCUACGAUGGGUAGGGGUCCUGAGAGGGAGAUCCCCCACACUGGUACUGAGACCACGGACCAGACUCCUACGGGAGGCAGCAGUGAGGAAUAUUGGACAAUGGGCGCAAGCCUGAACCAGCCAUGCCGCGUGCAGGAAGACGGUCCUAUGGAUUGUAAACUGCUUUUAUACAGGAAGAAACCCUCCCACGUGUGGGAGCUUGACGGUACUGUAGGAAUAAGGAUCGGCUAACUCCGUG
rnacentral:rRNA from 1 species